UACGUAGGGUGCAAGCGUUGUCCGGAAUCAUUGGGCGUAAAGAGCGUGUAGGCGGCCCGGUAAGUCCGCUGUAAAAGUCAAAGGCUCAACCUUUGAAUGUCAGUGGAUACUGCCGGGCUAGAGUCCGGAAGAGGCGAGUGGAACUCCUGGUGUAGCGGUGGAAUGCGCAGAUAUCAGGAAGAACACCAACGGCGAAGGCAGCUCGCUGGGACGGUACUGACGCUGAGACGCGAAAGCGUGGGGAGCGAACAGG
rnacentral:rRNA from 1 species